rnacentral:rRNA from 1 species
GGUACAGAAGGCACGGGUGGCGUGGUAAAAGGUGGGGAGCAAGUGGUGUUCGGAAUCAGUUGGCGUAAACAUGGCGUAGGGUGCCCUGUAAGGCCGUUGUGAAAGUCAAAGGCGCAACCUUUGAAAGCCGAUGGGUACUGCAGGGCUAGAGUCCGGAAGAGGCGAGUGGAAUUCCUGGUGUAGCGGUGGAAUGCGCAGAUAUCAGGAGGAACACCAAUAGCGAAGGCAGCUCGCUGGUACGGUACUGACGCUAAGGCGCGAAAGCGUGGGGAGCGAACAGGUUUAGAUACCCGGGUAGUC